rnacentral:lncRNA from 1 species
UUUUGUAUAGAUUGCAUCAAAAAGUAGGGGAAAUUCUGCUGAAAUUUCGCUAACAAGUACCCUUUUUAUUUUCAACGGAAAUUUAACUAGAGUACAACUUCGAAGUGCAAUACAUUGCAAAAUAAACAUAGGUCGUCUACCACUUGCACGUCCAUACUUAAAGUGCAUCAUUACAUGACAACAUAAUAAAAGUCUCACAGUAGAAAAUAUAGUUCAUAAAUAAACCAUAGAAUUAGAAACUAAUUAUGACUACUGAGUGCAACGAGGCCACCUUCCCUACCUCAAGGCAUCGGGAUUCUCCUCAACCGCUGCUUUCGCUCGGCGUGCACGCUCAAGCUUCUUCUCCCUCUCCUCCCUGUUUGCAGCAACACGCCUCCUUUCCUCCUCUUCCUUGUGCUCCUUUUCCGCAACCUCCUCUCUGAGCCUCUUCUCGUACACCUCCUUCCUC